rnacentral:rRNA from 1 species
CCUACGGGUGGCAGCAGUGGGGAAUAUUGGGCAAUGGGCGCAAGCCUGAUCCAGCAACGCCGCGUGAAUGAAGAAGGCUUUCGGGUUGUAAACUUCUUUCGUCAGGGACGAAGCAAGUGACGGUACCGGACGAAUAAGCCACGGCUAACUACGUGCCAGCAGCCGCGGUAAUACGUAGGUGGCAAGCGUUAUCCGGAUUUUGUGGGUGUAAGGGGGGUGUAGGCGGGAAUGCAAGUCAGAUGUGAAAACUAUGGGCUCAACCCAUAGCCUGCAUUUGAAAAUGUAUUUCUUGAGUGCUGGAGAGGCAAUCGGAAUUCCGUGUGUAGCGGUGAAAUGCGUAGAUAUACGGAGGAACACCAGUGGCGAAGGCGGAUUGCUGGACAGUAACUGACGCUGAGGCGCGAAAGCGUGGGGAGCAAACAGGAUUAGAUACCCCAGUAGUC